UACGUAGGAUCCGAGCGUUGUCCGGAUUUACUGGGUGUAAAGGGUGCGCAGGCGGACUGGUAAGUCAGUGGUGAAAUCUCGUCGCUUAACGACGAAACUGCCUUUGAUACUAUCAGUCUUGAAUCCGGUAGAGAUCUGUGGAAUUCCGAGUGUAGCAGUGAAAUGUGUAGAUAUUCGGAAGAACACCAGUGGCGAAGGCAGCAGAUUGGGCCGGUAUUGACGCUCAGGCACGAAAGCAUGGGGAUCAAACAGG
rnacentral:rRNA from 1 species